AGGCUCAUUCUUACAGCAAUAUCCCGCUAAACUUGCUAAAGUAAACAAAAGUCGACGCAGAAUCAUCGACCGGACAAAGACUUCGAACGAGCCUAAAUGGCUUGACUGAUCGCUAAAGGUAGCGGGUUGGAGCCGACGUGGCUAAGCUGAACUUGGUGAGGAGGGAGGUGACAUUGGAUCGAGAGCUCUUCGAAGAUCUUCUUGAGCUCGAGGACGAGAUCCGAUCGCCUGCCGUUCUUCUCGCUGAUGUUUUGGAAGUUGAUGGUGUGCUGAACAUACAAAGCCAUGUUCAUCUUGUUAACAUUCACAAUGUCCUUCACCACUAUGCUGUGGUUCGGCUGCCAAUGGGUGGGCUUACUCUCGAUAUAACUGAGAGACCACACAGAACCCUAUUAGUCGGCAAAUGUACGAAAAAUCAAAUGGGGCCUAAUCGCUUCCUAGUUCUUACUUGAAAGCGACAAACAAGGUGAUUAAAAUUUUGAAUUAAAAAACAAAGAAUCAAUGAGGAACUUACGCUUUUAUUUUGGAUUUCAGAGUCGCAAUGCUUUCCACAGAAGUCGAAAUGUCGACGGCGAAUCCAACGGAAUCGCUCAUAUUCGGGCUCCGGUAGAAGUUGCUGAUUGGUUUUGUCGACAAGACAGCAUUCGGAUAAUAUAUCUUCUCGUUGUCGUAUCUCAGAAAAACGGUCGUCAGAAUAUUCAUUUCUUCCACAGUCAUCUGUCGAUUUAAAUUAGUUCAUAGAAAUAUUAGAUCAUAGAACACUUUUUCCUUGUAUGUAUAUAUAUAUAUAUAUAAAAUCUUGUAUAUAUAGAAAAAAAAAAAUGCCAUCAUAUAUGAUUGUUUUUGAUAUUAACCUCACUUUUAUGGAGUAUAUACUACAAUAGGAUGUUUCAGGGCGAUGGAUAUACAUAUAUAUGAUAUUGCAGCAGGGACAUAUACAUAAGGUGCAAAAGUUGUAAUAAAGUCAAAAUAUUUACCUGUACUCCAUCAACGACGCAACGAUCGCCGACAUCGAAAGGGUGCAUAAUGAAGACGAAAAUGAUGGCUUCAAAUGUAGUCUUGCAUGUGUUUCCGAACAUGAAAACAACCACCAAAAGCUGGGACGAAAUGACGACGAUAACUUGGGUAGUUGCAAUGCCCAUCAUAAGAAGCAUAACAAUUAUAAUCACAAUAACAACAAUGAUGGUCGUUAGCUUGUGCAGUUGUCUGACUGCGGUUUUAGUGUCGUUUAGGGAAUGUGCAAGGGACUUCCGAUCGAGGUAGGCCUUCACCUGGAAACAUGGUCACAAAAAUUAAGCUAUUUACUCACAGCAAGCAAAAGAGCAUGUCCUUGAAGCAACUUUGAGGUUCUAUUAGCAUUUGGCAUCCCUUUACCUAAUUUCUGACUUCAUUAAAUUUGUCAGAGCACAUAUUUGAACCGAAUUAUCUUAAUAGUUUUCAACUAAAUGACAAAAGAGAGAAAGAAAUCAAAGGAAAAUACGGUGCUGCAGCGGCAACAACAAGGAACUAUCUAAUAGAAUUUGAAGUUUACAGAAUUUACCACCCAGUUCUUCAAUGCUGACUUCUUGAUCUUUCUUGUCUCAGCAGCUCCUUCAAACAUCGGAAGCACGGAUUCCACUUCCUCCUUGCUCAAAAAUCUCAUAAGAUCCUCUUCAUCUAUGUACCUAAGUACCCAAGAAGAAGAGGAAACACAUCAGGAGAGAUCAAAAAAAAAAAAGGCAAAGAGAUAUAAAGAAGGCAAUUGGAUUUUAAGAUCCAUCACUUGUGAUCAGGCUUGGCGACAUUUUUAAAAAUCCGGUAAGCCGCGGCCUUCGCUUCCCACUCACUAUUAAUCUCCCUAUCUUUCUGUUUCCAGCCUUCCUCGUCAAAGUUUUCGAUUGUGUUCGAGAUUGUAGUGAGCUCUGUAAAGUAUAAAUUCAGAAUUCAAGAUCAUAAUAUCAAAGCAGGAUGUCCUAUGUUCAAGCGCUUAAUUCAGAAUUCACAUCUUGGGCCAGCAGGAAGUCUCGAAAGCAGGCAUAAGGGGAGCAGUUAAUAUAAAUUAUCAAGAAUAACAUUCUCAAACAGCUUGAGCAUUUACAGAAGUUAGUUCUUUCACGACCUGAAGUCCUGAUCACAUUGAUUAGUCCCCUCAUUGUCCAAGCCGAGACCUUCUCCUGAUCCAUCUUAUGAAGCUUCCCGACAUCAAUCACUGCUUGUUCUUCCCCUCCUUUAGCCUUCCCCUUCCCGGUGCUCCGAAAGCUUAACUGCCCUGUGCUCUUCUCUCUCCCUACCUUCUCCGCCAUCUCCAUCAACGGCGGCCCGGAGAGCGCCUGCAGCAGGUACUGAUGGAAAAUUGACUCUUGGAUCCGAUCGAAAAACUUGGUCAUGUGGAAAGAAGAAGCUAAUAUCUUCAUGCCGAGGGUUUUCGCGAGCCAUAUUACCUAUCGAAUAUAAAACAUUACUCAUCAUUCUCUACCGGCUUAAACUUUUAGUUGAAAUUCAGAAAAUAUCAUAGCAAGAAGCCCUAAGCUCAAAUCUUCUAUUAGAAGUCCUUAAGCAUAGACACGAGGAGGAAUAUUAAAUAAGGGUAAAUUACACUUUUGGUCCUCAAAUUAUGGGGUGAGUGAUACUUUGGUCCUUAAUCUUUAAUUUGUUGUAAUUUUUGACAUGAACUUCUGAAUUAUUGCAAUCAAUUUCUGCAGUCCAAUUUAGUUAGCUGAAUAUUGAUAAAUUAUUGAUGCAGAAUUGAUAUAACAUCUUAACUUCUGCAUCAGCAAUUUGUCAACAUUUAGCCAACUAAAUUGAAUUGUAGAAAUUGAUUGCAAUAAUUCAGAAGUUCAUGUCAAAAAUUACAACAAAUUAAAGAUUAAGGACCAAAGUAUCACUCACCCCAUAAUUUGAGGACCCAAAGUGUAAUUUAUCCUAUUAAAUAUUAAAGAGAAAAAUGUGUAGACCUUACCGAAACUUGAUUAAAACAUUUUGAUUUUACUACCCUACCUUAUAAUAUUUUUAAAAAUUCGAAAGUUUUAAUCGUACUACCUAAUAUACGCAGUAUUAAUGACAUUUUGAUGGAAUAUUCUAUAGCCAAACGGAAUAUUCUGUCAAAAAUUUUACAAUUUGUCUAAGUUUGGAUAGUAAAAUAAAAAAUUUUGAACUCAUGUUAUGUAGUAAAACUUUAACUUUUGAAGUUGCAGGUAUAUAUUUCAAAAUAAGUUACAGUUCAGGUAAGAUCUAUAUAUCUCUCUAGUAGCUUAGAAUGUGGAGAUUAAAACCCACGAACUCACAUUCAGAAAGGGGUUUAUAAUUGACUCGAAUACCAUGUUAUCUGAAAGAUCGAUCCAGUAGAAAACAUGCACGGAAAUAUAUAUUAACAAUUUCACAGUUACCGAUCCGAUCAGGAGCGACGCGAGAAAGCGGGAGACGUAAUUGAGGAUCUUCGUCAUCUUCUUCGACCUCUCGAGCCCUUGAUUGAAGAGAAGGGACCAGGAAAGGAGCACAAGCCCCAGCCAAAUGCAAGCUCGCACACUAUCCUUCAACCCGUAGACGAAGUAGAGCACCUUCUUCUUCAAAAGGAAGUUCCUUUCGAUCAUGAAGACGAGCAAAUCGAUGAGCCACUGCGUCACCAAACCCCCGCAGCCGAUCACCGUCACCAUCAAGCACCAUUUCCAAAUCUCCAAGCCCCAGAUCACGGAUCCCUGGAGCUUGCGCACGGUUAAGCUCGCGAUGAGGCACCCCAUGGCGAGGAUCAGGAUCGCCCACUCGACCAGAGCCCCGAGUCUCCACCGCCGACGCCGAUUCGCCUUCGCGUUGAUAUGCUGCUCCUUCUUGUAGAUCUCCUCGUCCUCCUCUUCCUCGUCGUCCGCGUCGAGUAACGGCGUUUUGGGGGUGCCCAGGGACGCCCUAGGGUUUGGGGAGGUCGAGCUCGGGGUCGGGGCCGCCGCCGCCGCGGAGGAGUGGGGAGGGUGCUCGACGAAGCGGGAUUUGGGCUUGGAGAUGGAUCUGCAGCGGAUUAGGGUUUCGGGAUUGGGGGUUCGUGGGAGCUUCCUAGGGCUCGGCGCCUUGGCGAUCUCCGGGGAGGGGUUUCCGACGCGCGGGGGCGAUGAUUUCGGCGCCGAAUCCUCGAAACCUUCGACAUUCGCAGAAGAAGUCGGCGCCGACUUUGCUGCUGCUGCUGCUGCUGCUGCGCCGGUUUGGAUUACGACGACGACUUCGCCUUGCUUUCGAUCAAUGCUCCUCUCUUUGUGAGCAUCGUCGUCCAUGGCCAACGAAGAGACAAAAAUACNAAUUAUCUUAAUAGUUUUCAACUAAAUGACAAAAGAGAGAAAGAAAUCAAAGGAAAAUACGGUGCUGCAGCGGCAACAACAAGGAACUAUCUAAUAGAAUUUGAAGUUUACAGAAUUUACCACCCAGUUCUUCAAUGCUGACUUCUUGAUCUUUCUUGUCUCAGCAGCUCCUUCAAACAUCGGAAGCACGGAUUCCACUUCCUCCUUGCUCAAAAAUCUCAUAAGAUCCUCUUCAUCUAUGUACCUAAGUACCCAAGAAGAAGAGGAAACACAUCAGGAGAGAUCAAAAAAAAAUAAGGCAAAGAGAUAUAAAGAAGAAGGCAAUUGGAUUUUGAGAUCCAUCACUUGUGAUCAGGCUUGGCGACAUUUUUAAAAAUCCGGUAAGCCGCAGCCUUCGCUUCCCACUCACUAUUAAUCUCCCUAUCCUUCUGUUCCCAGCCUUCCUCGCCAAAGUUUUCGAUUGUGUUCGAGAUUGUAGUGAGCUCUGUAAAGUAUAAAUUAUCAUAAGACCAUAAUAUCAAAGCAGGAUGUCCUAUGUUCAAGCACUUAAUUCAGAAUUCACAUUUUGGGCCAGCAGGAAGUCUCGAACGCAGGCAUAAGGGGAGCAGUUAAUAUAAAUUAUCAAGAAUAACAUUCUCAAACAGCUUGAGCAUUUACAGAAGUUAGUUCUUUCACGACCUGAAGUCCUGAUCACAUUGAUUAGGCCCUUCAUUGUCCAAGCCGAGACCUUCUCCUGAUCCAUCUUAUGAAGCUUCCCGACAUCAAUCACUGCUUGUUCUUCCCCUCCUUUAGCCUUCCCCUUCCUGGUGCUCCGAAAGCUUAACUGCCCUGUGCUCUUCUCUCUCCCUACCUUCUCCGCCAUCUCCAUCAACGGCAGCCCGGAGAGCGCCUGCAGCACGUACUGAUGGAAAAUUGACUCUUGGAUCCGAUCGAAAAACUUGGUCAUGUGGAAAGAAGAAGCUAAUAUCUUCAUGCCAAGGGUUUUCGCGAGCCAUAUUACCUAUCGGAUAUAAAACAUUAAUCAUCAUUCUCUACAACUUAAACUUUUAGCCGAAACAUAAAACUCACAACAUAUAAGAGCAAGAAGCCCUAAGCUCAAGUCUCCUAUUAGAAGUCUUAACCACAGACAUGAGGAGGAAUAUUAAAUAGUGUAAAUUAAGCUUUUGCUCUUCAAAACUAUUGGGCGCGUGACACUUUGGUCCUUAAACUUUAAUUUUUUGUAAUUUUUGCCUCAAACUUUCUAAAUUAUUGCAAUCACCUCCUACAAUUCAAUUUAGUUGGCUAAAUGUUGACAAAUUGUUGAUGUAGUAGUGAUGUAAAAAUAUUAUGAUCGAUGAUGCGAGAAUAGUUAAGAUGCUAUAUCACUUAUGCACAAAUAAUUUGUCAAUAUUUAACUAACUAAAUUGGACUACAGAAAUUGAAUGCAAUAAUUUAGAAAGUUCGUAUCAAAAAUUACAACAAAUUAAAGAUUUAAGGACUAAAGUGUCCCGUGCCCCAUAGUUUGAGGACCAAAAGUGUAAUUUAUCCUAUUAAAUAUUAAAGGUAAAAAUGUGUAGACCUUACCGAAACUAUAGUGCAUCUUGAUUAAAACAUUUUGAUUUUACUAUCUGAACUUAUAAUAUUUUAAAAAAUCGUAUAACUUUUAAUUAUACUACCAAAUAUUCGCUGUACUAAUGACACAUUGAUGGAAUAUUCUGUAGCCAAACAGAAAAUUCUGCAAAAUUUUUUACAAAUUGUCUAAGUUUGGAUAGUAAAAUUAAAAUUUUUAAAUUCAUGUUAUGCAGUAAAUACUUUUAACUUUUAACUUUUGAAGUUAUGAGCAUAUAUUUCAAAAUAAGUUAUAGUUCAUAGUUCAGGUAAGAUCUAUAUAUUCUCUAACAACUUAAGCUUUUAGACAAAGCAAUCAAAUAAUAACCUGUUAAAUGUUGAAUAUAUGUGGGUAUUGAACUCCACGACCUCACAUACCCAAGGGGUUUAGAAUUGGCUCGGAUACCAUGUUAUCUAAAAGAUCGAUCUAGUAGGAAACAUGUACGGAAAUAUAUAUUAACAAUUUCACAGUUACCGAUCCGAUCAGGAGCGAUGCGAGAAAGCGGGAGACGUAAUUGAGGAUCUUCGUCGUCUUCUUCGACCUCUCGAGCCCUCCAUUGAAGAGAAGGAACCAGGAAAGGAGCACAAGCCCUAGCCAAAUGCAAGCUCGCACACUAUCCUUCAACCCGUAGACGAAGUAGAGCACCUUCUUCUUCAAAAGGAAGUUCCUUUCGAUCAUGAAGACGAGCAAAUUGAUGAGCCACUGCGUCACCAACCCCCCGCAGCCGAUCACCGUCACCAUCAAGCACCAUUUCCAAAUCUCCAAGCCCCAGAUCACGGAUCCCUGGAGCUUGCGCACGGUUAAGCUCGCGAUGAGGCACCCCAUGGCGAGGAUCAGGAUCGCCCACUCGACCAGAGCCCCGAGUCUCCACCGCCGACGCCGAUUCGCCUUCGCGUUGAUAUGCUGCUCCUUCUUGUAGAUCUCCUCGUCCUCCUCUUCCUCGUCGUCCGCGUCGAGGAACGGCGUUUUGGGGGUGCCCAGGGACGCCCUAGGGUUUGGGGAGGUCGAGCUCGGGGUCGGGGCCGCCGCCGCCGCGGAGGAGUGGGGAGGGUGCUCGACGAAGCGGGAUUUGGGCUUGGAGAUGGAUCUGCAGCGGAUUAGGGUUUCGGGAUUGGGGGUUCGUGGGAGCUUCCUAGGGCUCGGCGCCUUGGCGAUCUCCGGGGAGGGGUUUCCGACGCGCGGGGGCGAUGAUUUCGGCGCCGAAUCCUCGAAACCUUCGACAUUCGCAGAAGAAGUCGGCGCCGACUUUGCUGCUGCUGCUGCUGCUGCGCCGGUUUGGAUUACGACGACGACUUCGCCUUGCUUUCGCUCAAUGCUCCUCUCUUUGUGAGUAUCAUCAUCGUCCAUGGCCAAUGAAGAGACAAAAAAAACCCAAAAAAAAAAAAAAAAUCCUUGAGAAGCGCUUCUGAGUGAAGCAGUAGUAGAUUUUUUUUUUAGAGAAGUGCUUCUAAAUUGUGCGUGGGAGUGCGAGAGAAAAAAAAAAAAGAAAAAAAAGAAAAAAAAAAAGUAGCCGUUAAGGAAUUUAAAAAAUGGAUUUUGCCUUUUUAACAAUGCGCACGAAAUCGGAGAAAGGGGUACGCGAUGGAUCGCGAACAAUGCGGGUAUCGCUUGUGAUUCCGCCACGUGUCAAAAUACGUGGUUUCGUAGGAGGAAAAUGGUGGUUGGUGUUCGCGAGCGAACAGGAAAAGUUAUCUACGGAAAGUUGGGCGAGGUACGGAGUGCAAUGGUGAUGUCGACUAGUGCUAGCCCGGGAGCCGACAUAAACUCGGAACUGGAACCUCCUCCCGUUGGAAAAAUUUUAGAAUGCAACGUUUAUAUUGAUGACGUGACGUAAUAAAUUAAUUAAAUAUUUUUUUAAAAAUAUAUGUUUAAUUAUGAUUAUAAAAAAAUAUUUUUAUUGUAUUUUUAUUUGAAAAGAAGAAAUGCGAUUGACUUGUUAUUGAUGACGUGAUACAAGUAUGAUAGUGUAGAAUUCCUCCCUCCGUUGAUCUGUGCGAUCGAUCUUUGUGCUGGAUCUAUCUUAGCCGUUCAAUAUAUACGAAAAUUAACAUGCAUAAAAAUUUAGUUGAGUUGUGGUAAUGGUGUCCGAGUUGAGUUAGAAUACUCUCAAAAGUACCAUAAAGGUAGUGCUUUGGGCCCUGCUUGGUUCGGAGGAUAAGUGAGGAUAACGAAAGUUAUCCCCGCUAUUCCGCCAAACGGGGUGAAAUUUGGUCGGAAUAUUUUAUUCCGGUCAAACCUUUCUAUUUCCGGUUAUUUCGGAAUAACAAGUGAUUUGCUAUUCCACCAUUUUGGUGGAAUAGUACUAUUCCAAUGCUUAAUUUCAAACGUAAUUUAAAUUAUAAAUUGAAUUAAAACUUAAUUAUAUAAAUAUUAUAUGUUAUAUAAUAUAAUAUAUUAUUUUUAUUAUAAAAUUAUUAAUUGUACUAUAUUAAUACAUAUUAUUUAUAUUUAAAUAUUAUAAUAAAUUAUAUUUUAAUAUUAUAAAAUUUAAAGUUUAAAAUUUAAAAAUUAAAAUUUUAAUUUAAAAAUAUAAAUUUAAAAUUUUAAAAAUUCAAAUUCAAAUAUAAUAAGAGGGUAAUAUCAUUAUUUUUUUAUUUAUAAAAACCCACUUUCUUUCUUGUUUCAUCUUACCUAACCAAGCGCUAUGUUUUUUAUUCCCAGAAAUAAUCCAAUUUUUAUCCAAACGUAAAAUUGAUCUAAUCCCCGCUUCUACCUCAAUUUAUAUCUAUUUCUGGAAUAGCCACUUUUUGCUUAUCCUCGAACCAAACGAUAUCUUUGAGUUUUUAGCGAUUAGAUGAAGAGAUAUGAGAUUGAGAUGAUAGUGAUAGGUAGUAAUAGAUGGAAUAGUGUUUGAUCCAAAGGCUAUUAGUAAUCAAGGAGUAGAUUCAAGGACUAGAAACUUAGAACCACUAAGGGUGCUUUUAAAAGUAUUAUUCUAGCUCAAUUCGAUGGUGUCCAACCUUUAUCCAAAUUUUUAUUCUCGUCCCCCCCCUUUUUUUUUUCUCUUCCUUUUAAUAUUUUUUAAAAAUAAUAUACUACUCAUUUUGAUUAUUUUUUAAAAAUAUAGCUGCAGCUAUUAAGUGCUUUGCCACUUAUGCUAGUAAUGACCGAUAAUUUUUCUUUUAAUAAGAUUCUUAACCUUCGUAGGAUUAGUUGCUCUGUCAAUUUUUAACUUCUCUUUUAUGAGUUAAAUAGAGCUUUAUUAGAAUUGACAUGGUUUAUUUUAUUGAAGUUAAUAGAAAUUGAGACGAUUGAGACUUGAUUACGGAAAAAAAAAAAAAAUGAUAUCAAAAAAUAUAUAUAGGCCAAAUUAAAAAUACUAAUAAUAAUAAUAACAAAGAAUAAAAGAUAAAUGUUGGGAUAUUGAUACAGCUAUCCUUUUUUCGUCUGCUGGACACUCUUUAGAAUAAAGAAAUACUGCUGGUACACCUUUGGAGCAGGUGAUCUUAUAUUUCAGUCAUCUAAAAUAAUUAAGUAAAAAUUUAUUAUUUCAGAGAUAAAGUUAAAUUCAGAAUUAAGGUAGAAUUAAAAUAAUUUUGUAUUUGGUUGAGAAUUAAAUUUAGUCCAAGUAUAAAUAAAAUAGUAUUUAAUUAGAAUAGAUGGGAUAAGAAAGAUAGUGGAUAAAUUAGUAUUUUGUUUGGUUAGAAUAGUGAAGUAGAAUUAGCUAACCCCACCUCCCAAAUUAGGUGUUUAAAAAUAACUUCGGAGUUAAGAAGUUAUUCGACCCCUUAAACCCCGAACCAAACGGAUGCUUACCUAUUAGUUUCAUUUCCUUUUCAUGGCAAAAAAAAAUUAUGUAAAUAUUUAUGAACCGGACGGAGGUACAAAAUUUAUACUUAUGUAUUAACGUACAAGCAGCGUUUUCUUUUUCAAGAAGUGAAUAUACUUUGUACUUUGUACCUCCGUCCAAAGCAGAAGGAUGGUGGAGAGCGCAACUUCAAUGGGGAGCCUCUUCAACAAGAUCUCGUUGAGAUAAUUUGGUGAGCCCGUCUGAUUCACCCCGCGCCUGAAUCUUAAAUGUUUGGUUCUAAUCUAAAAGUUUUAACCCCCGAUCCUUAAUACUGGAUUAAUCAGCAAAUUUAAAAGAUGUCCAGUAAGCUGGAAUGAGGAGCUCCUCAUCCAAGCAUUUUCCGCCGGUGUAUGUGACCGUCUCAAGUUCCCCAACCACUACCGCGCUAAACAUCAAUGGGGAGGCUCAAUUUUACAGCAAUAUCCCGCUAAACUUGCUUAAGUAAACAAAAGUCGACGCAGAAUCCUCGACCAGACAAAGACUUCGAACGAGCCUAAAUGGCUUGACUGAUCGCUAAAGGUAGCGGGUUGGAGCCGACGUAGCUAAGCUGAACUUGGUGGGGCGGGAGGUGAUACUGGAUCGAGAGCUCUUCGAAGAUCUUCUUGAGCUCGAGGACGAGCUCCGAUCGCCUGCCGUUCUUCUCGCUGAUGUUUUGGAAGUUGAUGGUGUGCUGAACAUACAAAGCCAUGUUCAUCUUGUUCACAUUCACAAUGUCCUUCACCACUAUGCUGUGGUUCGGCUGCCAAUGGGUGGGCUUACUCUCGAUAUAACUGAGAGACCACACAGAACCCUAUUAGUUGNUGCCGAGGGCACGUUACUAGUUGGUUGUUAGACCAGUGUGAGUCAGUUACUUGACUUUGUCUUGUUAGAGCCUGUUUGAGCUUGACAGAGACACGCUGCAUACUCGGUUUGGUAGCUCCCACGAGUGCCACUCCGGAGUCGGGCGUAGUGCUUUUGCGUUGGUGUCGCUCAUGCCGGUUGAACUUGCUCUCCACGGACCAGUAGUGUGGAGGUAGCUGAUUGUCACAACUGGGCAGGGACGGGUGUGUUCACAGUCCCAGGGACGGGUAUGCUUACAGUCCCGAUUGGAUUGGGUCAGAUUUGACAUUUCCUACAGUUGGUUAGUGUAGAGCAUGAUAGUGUAGUGAUUCAUAGCGGUAGAUUUCAUUCCUGCAUUUACUACUAUCCUGGCUCCCUUCUGUAGACUUAGUGGGUGGACCGAUGUUGUUUAGGGUGGCACCCACUGAGGACUACCUGUAUUUACAGUAGUUCUCACGCCCUGUUGUUACCCCUGUUUUGCAGAGCCCCCGGUUUCGGCUGCUGCACUCUCCGAGACGGAUCGAGGCAAAGGCGUCACGAGUUAGAGCCCUACCCGACGAGCAGAGCUAAAGGCACCCCUACUGCAGGUAGACGUUUUGGUUUUCGGGUUCAUGUACAUAGUAUACUUAACUCGCCAGUGCGAGUAGCUCUGUAUUUUGGAUUUUGGACUAUGUAUGUGAAACUCAGUUUGUUUAGCUUUUGUUUACUUUAGCAGCUCUAUACUACUGUUUGUAGUAUUGUAUGAUUUAUAGGUACAGCUAUCGCUUCGUAUACAGGAAAAAUUUCUUUGUAUACGGCGGAUUUGUCGGCGUGCCCGGGGAACGAGACAUCCGGGGCGUGACAGAUUAAGUUGGUAUCAGAGCUUAGCUGUAGGUCAUUGGGACCUAGAAAACCUAAGUUGGCAAACCUUAGGAAGGCAAGACGCGAGAGGCGCGAUUUAUCGCGAAAGUCAAUGAUUAAUUGUUCUAACUCCUCCUCGAGCGGAGUGAGUGACUGAAGGAGUUCCUGUUUUGGCCUGAGAAAUUAUGUUGGCUGCAGACGACAUAAUUUUGGAGGAAAACAGGGGCCGCCUUCCAGACUUUCGUUGAUUGGGUCGAGAGUGUUUGUUGUAUCUGACCCCGAUUUGUUCCUUUCAGCUAUGUAUCGUCGCCGAGGCCGACCGUCGUUGCGGGAUCGUGCUCAGAUGACCCAGGAUCGUGCGGGACAUUCCGAGGUACCCGAGCAGGUGGAGCCGAGUGCCCGACAGGAGCACAUCACUAGACCGGAGACGAGUGCAUUCCCGAAUUUGAUUGCACAGUUAGCCGCCCUGACCGAGGUGACUAGGCGGCAGGGAGAGUUGUUGGAGAGGCUGUUUGAGAGAGUAGCUCCGCCGCAGAGUACAGUCCCGAGUGCAUCAGAGCAGGCUGUUCCACCUUCGACUACCCCAGUGACAGCGCCCACUGCAGCAGUUCCUCCGCCAGCAGCAGCUCCAGUAGCGCCAGUUGCGCCUGCUAGGGGACCAGUACAGUUGACAGAGGCCGAGUAGGAGCGGAUGACAGAAAGGCUGGCUCGUUUUCGCCGUUUUGAUCCGCCGACCUUCGAUGGCAGUAGCACUGAAGCCUGGGUUGUUGAGGGUUGGGUCAGUGCGGUAGAGAAGUUGUUCGAGGAUCUUUACAUUCCAGCGAGGGAGCAGGUACCCUUUGGAGUCCAUUGCUUGGCAGGCGAUGCUCAUGAUUGGUGGAGGAGAGUGCGACGAGAUCUUGGACUGGUAGCUUCCCAGAUGAGAUGGGAUGAGUUCUGUGGAAUGCUGUUCGGGAUGUAUUUUUCCAACAGCGUGAAACAGAAGCUCGAGGAGGAUUUGAGGAGGAUCCAGCAGGGUGAUCGUCCAGUGCAGGAGUACAUUCGGGAGUUCACUCGACUCCUAAACUGUGUGCCAUUUGUGGCCAGGGAUGAGGCACAUAGGGUUUACAUGUUCGAGCAGGGGUUGAGACCAGAUAUCUUCAGGUUGGUGCGGGCGCAGAGGUCGAGGACCCUGGAUGCGUCCAUGGAGCAGGCCUUAUGGGUGGAGAGAGGUGAGUUGUCACUUCAGGAGAGGACUCAGGCCGUGGGGCAGAGUCAGGAGAGGAAGCGCCCAUUUCCAGAGGACGGAGGACAGUCGAGUAGCAGACGUCCGCCGAGGCCUCCACGAUCACGCUCUCAGGGUCGUGGGUCUUCGGGGCGUCAGCGUUCUAGGGGAUCCCGUCAGCAGGGACAGAUUCAGAGGACACCGCAGUGUGUGAUCUGCGGGGGACCACACUGGCCCCAGCAGUGUGAGCAGAGAGAGGGCAGGUGCUACGGGUGUGGUCAGCCGGGACACAUGAGGGCAGCUUGUCCCCGAGCAGCAUCUCCAGCACCAUCAUCACCUUCAGCCCCACCAGCACCCCAGCAGUCUUACAGAGCAGCUUCGAGUUUCUGCCAGGAGGACAGAUCAUCUGUGCCGCGUCAGGCUGAGCGGCGACAGCAGGCUCCGAGUGGCAGAGUCUACGCAGCUCAGGUGAAAGACUCUACAGUAGUCGACCGAGUGGUGGCAGGUAUCACUUUGAUUUCAGGCAUUCGUACUCGUACUCUUUUUGAUACCGGUGUCUCGCAUUCUUUUGUUAGCCGAGCAUUUGCAUUGUUGUAUGGUCUAGAGUUAGGAGCUUUGGCACAGGCACGAGAGGUGCAGAUCCCGGACCAUGUUUUACAGGUUGCAGAGUGUUAUUGAUCGUGUCCGGUGCAGCUAGAUUCGUGGAUUAUGCCCGCAGACUUGUUAGUGUUAGGGUAGCUGCAGGACUUCGACGUUGUGCUCUGUAUGGAUUGGCUAGCGCGAUAUUAUGCUACGAUUGACUGUGGAGCGAGGACGGUGACGUUCCGCGAGCCAGGCCAGGAUGAGUUCACUUUCAGAAGAUGCAGGAGCACGUUGUUUGCUACGUGGAUAUCUUCGGCGAGAGCUCGACAGAUGCUGAGUAGUGGGUGUAUCUCUUUCUUAGCGAUAGUUGUGGAGGUACCUACGGCAGCGCCGGAACUUGAGGAUAUCCCUAUAGUUCGCGAGUUCCCGGAUGUGUUUUCUCCUGAGUUCACGACGUUGCCGCCGGAGAGGGAGAUAUAGUUUGUGAUUGAUGUAGUUCCUGGAACUGCACCAAUCUCGAAGGUACCUUAUCGGAUGGCGCCGGCAGAGCUGAGAGAGCUAAAGACACAGCUCCAAGAUUUGAUGGAUAGAGGGUUUGUNNNNNNNNNNNNNNNNNNNNNNNNNNNNNNNNNNNNNNNNNNNNNNNNNNNNNNNNNNNNNNNNNNNNNNNNNNNNNNNNNNNNNNNNNNNNNNNNNNNNAUUAAUUAAGGAAUGGAGCAUCUGCGUGAGAAUGCCGCUCGGCUUCUCUCGCUCUCGUUUUCUGACUUUAUCUCUGUCAUGGCUAUUAUUAUAAAUCAAACGGUUUGGCAUCCCCCCAUCCCGGACCCCCUCGCAUACUUUUUAUCGAAUUUUCCCAUAAGUUCUUUGUCGCCUGUAUGAGACGUUAUUGUCUGUCGUUUUGCAUUGUUGUGCUAUUGAGUGUUUUAAAGGAGAUGCGAUAGGCAUAAAAAACAACGUUCAAGUGAUUUAUAUAUAUGUUUCUUGAUUUCUCAAAACUUUUUAGGGAGUUGUUUGCAGUUAUUUUGGUUUGGGAGUCUUGUUUGCAGUUUUGUUUGGUUUUCAGAUUUGAUCGUAUUGUUUUUUUGUCAAUUUUAAAAAUAUGAUGAAAUAUUUACUAAAAUAGAUCUAACAGAUGUAAUUGGAAAUUUUCUUCCAAUUUUUUAUUUGGAGCAGUUUGGUAGCUUUGUUGGGCGAUGUUGUUUUUUUUUCGCUAGUAGAGCUUCUAAUUAUCUUUUAUUUAUUGUCGAUAAUUUCGUAAUGUUUUUGGUUUAUAUCCUUUUUUUACUUUAUGUUUUCUAGAUUAGUUUCGAUGAGAAUAAAACUACUUUUAACACAUUCUGCACAAAUAUUAAUAUAGGUCUAUUGAUUCAGUGGACAAAGCCAAUACAAAUUUUUUCGACCUUAGCAUUUAUUGUGUUAGCUAUUUUUUCUGGUAUUUACUUUUUCGGAUCACAUGAAUUGUGUUGUGUUUUUUUAUGGUAAGUUUUCUUUUAUUGAGUCAAUGAUAAAGGAUAGGGAAUUUGGUUAAGUGUUUUUACUUUGGUGAAAGUUCGAAACAUAUUGUAUAGUCGCCAUGUAGUACGGGGGUGGUUUCUAAGAGGACCUACAGCUCUCCGGGUUAUAUUGGCGGUGGGAAUUGACAGUAAUGCGGUUUUCUUUUUGGGUUUUUUGCUGGGCCUGUUGUAUAGCUGGUAAUCUCUAGAUAAAUAAUUUUCUGCUCGCUGUGAAAGUUUACUAUAGUUCAACUGUGUUGAAUCAUAUGACAGAAACUUUCUGAUUUUGCUUCGUUUAUAAAUUAAUUCGAAGGUCUUUGCUGUUUUGCUUGUCAUGUUUUCCAUAAGUACGCAUACGAUUUGCUCGUGUUGGCGAGGUUCGAAUUUAGGCUCUUUAAUGCACACUGACCACCAACCAUAGGGAGAAACCACGACGGGCUGUACAUCCGAGAACGUGCGGUGGAGGAAAAGUCGCGGCCCACACCACCGACAGCACAACGCCACCCCCCGGUUGUACGGGCUGUCGGAAGGGAGAAGGCGGACGGGACAGGCAAUAGAGCGAGAGAAGGCGGAGAGUACGGGAGAAGGCAGACGGGAUGUCGGAUGGGACAGGCAACAGGGCGAGAGAAGGCGAAGAGCCAGCGGACGGGAUAGGCAACAGGGCGAGAGAAGGCGGAGAGGCGCCAUCACGAAGGCGGAGGGACGAAAAGACAGCGAGGGGGGCAACGACACGUCGUACGGGAGAAGGCGGCUGCGUUCCCGAGGGAGGACAGCGAUGGCGUCGCGGCUACGAAACGAAGGCGGAGAGGACGGAGGGUGAGCGGGGGGUGGUAACGCCGCGCCGUACAGGCAAAAAAAAUCAGAGCGGGGGGAGGGGGCGCCGCCGUACGGGAAGGCGGAGAGCGCGAAACGUGGGGAGGGCUCGAAGCCAAUCGCCCUUGCAUAAGCUUAUAUUGAUAAAUGAUAAGUCCUGCAGCUUUGAAAUUGGAACCUCAACUUUACUCUUUAGAUGUCGUCUCCUUAACUUUUUCAUAUUUUAUUUUAUUUUAUUUUAUUUGAGCUAUUGGUGAGGGGUCACUUCAAAAUAGCCUAAAAUAAUUUUAAUACAUUUUUAUGGCUAGUUGUACGAAUUAACUAUCAAAUCGUGUAGAAAAUUCAGCAUGAGAAUCAAAUGUAUAAUUACUUUCAAACAGAAUAGUCCUACAUAGAACAAUAAACGAGUUGAUACGUAUCAUGGAUUGGAUGGAUAGAGUGCGAAUUUAUUGAAAAGAGUAUCAAUGAGUUCUUAUUGAGAUAGUUUAUUGAGUUGUAUAAUUAGCCUCAAAAUUUUAAAGUUCCAUUCCAUUUUCUUAUGCAUGUGACAGCAGUGUAUAUUUCAUUUCGGCGAAAUUAUAAGUUUGGCCUCAUACUCUAAAGCACCGUGACACUUUGAUUUUUAAACCUCAAUUUAUUAUAAUUUUUGACCUGAACUUUUCAUAUUACUGGAGUUAAGUUUCACUGUCUUAUUUAAUUAACUGAAAGCUGACGUGAUAAUUGUUACGACAAACGCACAAACGAAAACGAAAAUGGCGAACACGAAAUAAACAAAGCACAAACGGAAAUAAAAGAGAACACACAGAUUUACAUAAAAAAUUCUUUGCAAGAAAAAAUCACGAGCAAGGGAGGAGAAAAUUUCACUAUCGAAAAGGGAAUACAAUGCUCGAGUACAACCAACCACGAUCUCAAGCCUCUACGGGCUCGGACCUGUCGACCCGAGCCCUUCGCUACCCACCACAGACAUUCAUUUUUUCUUUAUAAUUUUAUUUUCUAAUUUGAUCGCACCACGAAACCCGCACUCCCUGGCAAAUGUCAGUGGUGGGCUACGGGCUCGGACUUAUCGGCCCGAGCCCUCCGCUACCCACCACAGACAUAUAUUUUUCCUUCACAAUUUUAUUUUUCAAUUUGGUCGUAUCGUGAAACUAUCAGUGAGUCGAAAUUCCGAACUAAAGUCGAUUAUCAAUUUCGAGUCACAUCUAAGGGCCCGUUUGGUUCGAGUUAUUCUGGCAGGAUUACAGGCAAUCCAGCCAGAAUAACUGUGUUUGGUUAAUCCGCUAUGUAAUCUAGUCGUUAAUGUAGCAUUACAAAUCGAGCAGGAUUACAUCGAAAAUAUUAACGGGAGGGGGGUCGUGUAUCUUGCAUUAAUGAAACCCGUUAAUACUACAUAUUACGUAAAAUAACAAUUUUACCUUCUAACAACCCCAAAUCUAAUUAACAACAUUAUUUUCAUCUCUCUCUCCUUCCCCCUCUCUCUCGCACGCCUCUCUCUCUCUCUCACACACAUGUCUCUCUCUCUCUCUGUCUUUCUCUCUCUCUCUCUAUCUCGUCCCUUUAUCUCUCUCGCAUAUUAUAUUUUUGUAAAUUAAUUUACUACUAUAAAUUAUAUUUUACUACUGCAAAUUAUAUUUUUGUAAAAAAAUAAUAUUCAAAUGACCACAACAAGGGCAAUUUUGAAAAAAACUAUAUUUUUAUAUCAGAAUUACUAAAUUUUAUAAACUGAACCAAACGUAUUAAUGUUAUAAACACUAUAAUCUAGUAUUACAUUACUGCAUUAAACCAAACGCGCUAAUGCAGCAUCAAUAGUAAUCUCACGCCAAAAUCCAAGAUACUUGGAUAUGUCGAGAUACUUUGUAAUAUUACAUAACUCGAACCAAACGGACCCUAACAGUAAUGAUGCGGCAUCUAUUUAUUACUACCUUAUAAACUACAACAUUUGUUACAACGCUACUGCCAUAUUAGCGACAGAUCCUGUACCAGAACUUUAAUACAUUUCAUUUUCAAUUGGGUGAAGUGUAAAAAAAGCAUUUUGACAUUUUUGUUUCUCACGUAAAAUGAGUAAAAGCGUUUUGGUGUAUUAGCCUUUUGGUGUUUCCCACGGCUCGCCCCACGCCGGCGCCCGCCCGCGCCCCGCGCCUCCAGCCCUCGGCUCGCGUCCACGCCAGCGCCGGAGCAGCCCCUGCGCCAGCGCCGGCGCACGUGCCCAGCCCCGUGCCCGCUCGCGACUCCGCUGCCACGUGUUGCCCUCCUGUUGAAGUUAUUGAUGAAUAAUAUAUCUAUAUAGAUGCUAGAUUGAAUAUUCCAUGUCAUGAAACGUUCAAUUUUGGAAAGUGAGUCCAACAUGUAAUUUCAAAUAGUUUUUACGUCUCUCUCUCUCUCUCUCUCUCUCUCUCUCUCUCUCUGUUACCUGGUUUAAAGAAACCAGGUAACCUGGUUUUAUUGAGGAGGGUUCCAGACGAUCCGUCUGGAACCCUCCUCUAGAGGACCCUUCCUCCCGGUUUCGGGAGGAGGGCUCCUCUAGUCUAAGGUCCGGGUUCCGUUAAACGAAACCCAAAAACCAAGGCACCUGACUUAAAGAAACCAGGCAGACCGGGUCAGGUUAGUCAGGCACGGCACGGAACCCUCCCCGAGAGGACCCGGGCCGCGCCGGGUCCGGGAAAAGGGCUCCGCUAGUCUGGCAUCAGCGUUCCGUUGAACGGAACCCGGACCCCAUACGCCCGAUCACGACCGGGCCGACCGUGCCAGGUGUAGCGCCGAGCAUCGGCACGGCCCGGUGGCCGAGAGGAGCCGGGCCGGGCCGGGUCCGGGCAAAGCCCGGCACGGCACAGCCCGGCAACCCGGGGUCCAUACGCCGGGUCAUGCCGGGCUUCUCGGCCCGGCCGGGCCGUGCUGGGCCCACGAUGUCACCAGCACGGCCCGGUGUCGGGCCGGGCGUCGACACGGCCCGGUGUCGGGCCGGGCGUCGGUACGGCCCUGCCCGCCCGGUGCCCGACGGGCCGGGUAAAAUGUGGGGAUGUAUACGGGGGGAACAUACAGUACAGGAUGAUAUUCUUUAUCUCUCUCNNNNNNNNNNNNNNNNNNNNNUAAAUAAAAAUUAUUUAUUGUUUAUAUUUUUGUAGAUUAUAUAUAUUUUUUUAAAAAAAAAAUUAAAAAAGGGCCGGCCCGAAGCACGGCCCGGCCCGGCACGGCCCGUGCCCUCCGGGCCGUGCCGGGCCGAAGGGUAGGAGUUCGGGCCCGGCACGACCUGGCCCAGAUUUGGUCACGAGCCGGGCCGGGCCAGGCCCUAGCGUGUUUCGGCUCGAAAAAUGUGGGCCGGCACGGCCCACAUUACACCCCUAGGCAUAUGCCUCAAUUGACACGAAAAUGAAAAUUAAACUAAGACUCAGAAACUCUAGCAUUACAUAACCAUGAAUAUGAGCUCCCAUUCUACAACUGUUAACAACCAAUCAUUACAUAAGCCUCCCCUAGGUCGAUUACAGCUACCAUCCAUCACGUAAAUUAGCACGAAUUCCAAAGCAAAAUGAUUAGCACGAAUUCCAAAGCAAAAGAAUGGUGGAGAGCGCAACUUCAGUGGCGAGCUCUUCAACGAGAUCUCGUUGAGAUAAUUUGGUGCCCGUCUGAUCCACCCCGCGCCUGAAUCUUAAAUGUUUGGUUCUAAUCUAAAAGUUUUAACCCCCGAUCCUUAAUACUGGAUUAAUCAGCAAAUUUAAAAGAUGUCCAGUAAGCUGGAAUGAGGAGCUCCUCAUCCAAGCUUUUUCCGCCGGUGUAUGUGACCGUCUCAAGUUGUGGACGAUCGCCCUCCAAGUUUCUGGUUCCCCAACCACUACCGCGCUAAACACCAAUGGGGAGGCUCAAUUUUACAGCAAUAUCCCGUUAAACUUGCUCGACGCAGAAUCAUCGACCGGACAAAGACUUCGAACGAGCCUAAAUGGCUUGACUGAUCGCUAACGGUAGCGGGUUGGAGCCGACGUAGCUAAGCUGAACUUGGUGGGGCAGGAGGUGAUAUUGGAUCGAGAGCUCUUCGAAGAUCUUCUUGAGCUCGAGGACGAGCUCCGAUCGCCUGCCGUUCUUCUCGCUGAUGUUUUGGAAGUUGAUGGUGUGCUGAACAUACAAAGCCAUGUUCA
rnacentral:lncRNA from 1 species